CAAUGGGGGCAACCCUGAUCCAGCCAUGCCGCGUGUGUGAAGAAGGCCUUUUAGUUGUAAAGCACUUUAAGCAGGGAGGAGAGGCUAAUGGUUAAUACCCAUUAGAUUAUUGACGUUACCUCGCAGAAUAAGCACCGGCUAACUCUGUGCCAGCAGCCGCGGUAAUACAGAGGGUGCGAGCGUUAAUCGUGAAUUACUGGAGCGUAAAGCGAGUCUAGGUGGCUGAUUAAGUGACAUGUGCAAAUCCCCGGGCUUAACCUGGGAACUGCAUGUGAUACUGGUGGUGCUAGAGAUAUGUGAGAGGGAAGUCGAGAAUUCCAGGUGUAGCGGUGAAAUGCGUAGAGAUCUGGAGGAAUACCGAUGGCGAAGGCAGCUUCCUGGCAUAAUAUUGACACUGAGAUUCGAAAGCGUGGGUAGCAAACAGGAUUAGAUACCCUGGUAGUCCACGCCGUAUACGAUGUCUACUAGCCGU
rnacentral:rRNA from 1 species